UCCCUGGUAGCUCAGCUGGUACAGAAUCUGCCUGCAAUGCAGAAGACCCUGGUUCGAUUUCUGGGUCGGGAAG
rfam:TPA: Bos taurus chromosome 27, whole genome shotgun sequence.